rnacentral:rRNA from 1 species
AAGGUAGCGAAAUUCCUUGUCGGGUAAGUUCCGACCUGCACGAAUGGUGUAACGAUCUGAGCACUGUCUCAGCCGCGAGCUCGGUGAAAUUGUAGUAUCGGUGAAGAUGCCGAUUACCCGCAACGGGACGGAAAGACCCCAUGCACCUUCACUAUAGUUUAACAUUGACUUUGGAUAAAUCAUGUGUAGGAUAGGUGGGAGACUUUGAAGUGGUGUCGCUAGGCAUCAUGGAGUCAACGUUGAAAUACCACCCUUGAUUUAUUUGGAGUCUAACUCCUAACGGAGGACAUUGUUUGAUGGGUAGUUUGACUGGGGUGGUCGCCUCCAAAAAUGUAUCGGAGGCUUUCAAAGGUACCCUCAGUACGCUUGGUAACCGUACGUAGAGUGCAAUAGCAUAAGGGUGCUUGACUGUGAGACUUACAAGUCGAGCAGGGCCGAAAGGCGGAUAUAGUGAUCCGGUGGUUCCGUAUGGAAGGGCCAUCGCUCAAAAGGAUAAAAAGGUACGCU